rnacentral:rRNA from 1 species
AGCGUAGACGGCAAGGCAAGUCUGAUGUGAAAACCCAGGGCUUAACCCUGGGACUGCAUUGGAAACUGUCUGGCUCGAGUGCCGGAGAGGUAAGCGGAAUUCCUAGUGUAGCGGUGAAAUGCGUAGAUAUUAGGAAGAACACCAGUGGCGAAGGCGGCUUACUGGACUGUAACUGACACUGAGGCUCGAAAGCCAGGGUAGCGAACG